rnacentral:tRNA from 1 species
ACGGGCGUAGCUCAACGGUAGAGCGCCGGUCUCCAAAACCGAAGGCUGUGGGUUCGAAUCCUGCCGCCCGUGC